GGGGGGGGGGCUAGGAUGAAAUUUGAAAAAAAUAGGCAGGACAGGAAUUUUGAGUAAAAAAAAAGGCAGGAUGAGACACUUGCAAAAAAAAAGUCAGGACGACAAUUUAGGUAAAAAAAAGUCAGGAUAAACUAAAAAGAAAAGGCAGGACCGAACAGAGUGAAAAAUAAAAAGGCAGGACAGAGAUUACAGCUAAAAAAAAAUGCAGGACAAAAUUUUUCAUCCUAGCCCCCCAAUAAAAAUCAAAUGGUAGCUCCCUAAU
rnacentral:lncRNA from 1 species